AUUUUUAUUCAGUUUGAUGUUUUCAGAUAACGUGGAGAUCUUCAACAGAUCACUGGAACUGUCCAUAGUCCCUGGCUGCUUCAAAUGCUCCACCAUCAUCCCUGGCCCAAAGAAACCCAAGAUAACAGGACAUAAUGACUGCAGACCCUUGCUGGAUCCACUGCUCUUCUCCCUCUACACUAGGGAUGCACUAUAAAUCACAUGUGAUUUUCAUGCACAUCUCGUCAGUAAAGCCGGUGUUGUUGAUUAGUAGUAAAUCUCCAUCAUGUGCUUUCAGAUGGAGCAGCAUUUACUACACAGAGCCGUAGUUCACUGACAAGCUAUACAAUAUCACAUUCAUAAUCGCAGACAAUUUGUCUGAACAUCAACAGAACCGGCUCUACUGAUGAGAUGCGCAUAACAAUCACAUGCGAGUUAUCGUGCUGCCCUACUCUACACCAAUGACUGCACCUCUACAGACCUGAGGUCUUCGGACUGUCGAGAGGAUUACUGGUGCUUCCCUACCCACCUUUCAAGAACGGUACACAUCCAGAGUGAGGAAAAGUGCUUAGGAAAUCACUCUGGAUCCUUUUUGAACUUUUGACAUCCGGUCGGCGAUACAGUGCAUGGAAUACGAGAGAAACAAGAAGUUUCUUUUCCCAGAAAAUCUGCCUAAGAAAAUCUGCCUAAUGAACAGUUAAAAGUCCCCCCCCCCCCAUCGUGCAAUAAAAAUAUGUGCAAUAACCUUAUAUUUUAUUUGUUACCACCCCAUAUCCUAGUACAUCCCUACAUCUCAUUCUAUUCCAUUCCUAUUAUAUCUAUAUCACAACUGUACAUACAAUAUAUUUUAUAUUUCAAUUUGUUUUUCAGUUUUUUUAUUUAUAUUCACAUAUGUGUAUUUUUAUUCUUGUGUUAUUUGAAUUGUCUUAGUGUUGUUGCUGUCUCUGUGUACUGAAAGCUUGUGACACUAAAACAAUUACUAUAGAGAAUGCAUGUCAUAUUUGAGCUUUUGGAAUAAAACCUAUUUGUG